UGCCUUAUACAUGCAAGUCGAGCGGACAGAUGGGAGCUUGCUCCCUGAUGUUAGCGGCGGACGGGUGAGUAACACGUGGGUAACCUGCCUGUAAGACUGGGAUAACUCCGGGAAACCGGGGCUAAUACCGGAUGGUUGUUUGAACCGCAUGGUUCAAACAUAAAAGGUGGCUUCGGCUACCACUUACAGAUGGACCCGCGGCGCAUUAGCUAGUUGGUGAGGUAACGGCUCACCAAGGCAACGAUGCGUAGCCGACCUGAGAGGGUGAUCGGCCACACUGGGACUGAGACACGGCCCAGACUCCUACGGGAGGCAGCAGUAGGGAAUCUUCCGCAAUGGACGAAAGUCUGACGGAGCAACGCCGCGUGAGUGAUGAAGGUUUUCGGAUCGUAAAGCUCUGUUGUUAGGGAAGAACAAGUACCGUUCGAAUAGGGCGGUACCUUGACGGUACCUAACCAGAAAGCCACGGCUAACUACGUGCCAGCAGCCGCGGUAAUACGUAGGUGGCAAGCGUUGUCCGGAAUUAUUGGGCGUAAAGGGCUCGCAGGCGGUUUCUUAAGUCUGAUGUGAAAGCCCCCGGCUCAACCGGGGAGGGUCAUUGGAAACUGGGGAACUUGAGUGCAGAAGAGGAGAGUGGAAUUCCACGUGUAGCGGUGAAUUGCGUAGAGAUGUGGAGGAUCAUCUUCUGUUAAUUCGACUCUCUGGUCUGUAACUGACGCUGAGGAGCGAAU
rnacentral:rRNA from 1 species